rnacentral:rRNA from 1 species
UACAGAGGGAGCUAGCGUUAUUCGGAAUUACUGGGCGUAAAGCGCACGUAGGCGGCUUUGUAAGUUAGAGGUGAAAGCCUGGAGCUCAACUCCAGAACUGCCUUUAAGACUGCAUCGCUUGAAUCCAGGAGAGGUGAGUGGAAUUCCGAGUGUAGAGGUGAAAUUCGUAGAUAUUCGGAAGAACACCAGUGGCGAAGGCGGCUCACUGGACUGGUAUUGACGCUGAGGUGCGAAAGCGUGGGGAGCAAACGGG